rnacentral:rRNA from 1 species
AUGGCCAGAGCUACGAGCACGGGUACGGCGGGCAUGCGCAGCACGGGCACGGCGGCUAUGAGCACGGGUACGGCGGCGGACAUGCGCAGCACGGCCAUGGCCACGAGCACGGGUACGGCGGACACGUGCAGCAGCACGGAUACGGCGGUGGCCACGCGCAGCUCGGGUACCCUCCUGCCGCCGGUGCCUACCCUCCGCACGGCGGUUACCAGGCGCACGGCUACGCGCCGGCGGCCUACCCCUCUCACGGGGCGCACCACGGUAAUACGCACCUUCAUUCAUCAACUGGGAAGUAAGUUUGAGACGCUGGGGACGCCAUAA